rnacentral:rRNA from 1 species
UGCGUAGGCGGCCCGGGAAGUUGGGUGUGAAAGCCCUCGGCUCAACCGAGGAACUGCGCCCAAAACUGCCAGGCUUGAGGGAGACAUAGGUGAGCGGAACUUAGGGUGGAGCGGUGAAAUGCGUUGAGAUCCUAAGGAACACCAGUAGCGAAAGCGGCUCACUGGGUCUCUUCUGACGCUGAGUGCACGAAAGCUAGGGGAGCGAAGAGGAUUAGAUACCCUCGUAGUCCUAGCCGUAAACGAUGAGCACUGAUUUGGAGGGUCCUCCAUAGCCUUCCAGAUGUAGCGAAAGUGUUAAGUGCUCCGCCUGGGGAGUAUGGUCGCAAGGCUGAA